GAUGAAGAACGCAGCGAAAUGCGAUAAGUAAUGUGAAUUGCAGAAUUCAGUGAAUCAUCGAAUCUUUGAACGCACCUUGCGCCCUUUGGCUAUUCCGAAGGGCAUGCCUGUUUGAGUAUCAUGAACACCUCAACUCUCAUGGUUUGCCAUGAUGAGCUUGGACUUUGGGGGUCUUGCCGGCCUAUGGGUCGGCUCCUCUCAAAUUAAUCAGCUUGCCAGUGUUUGGUGGCAUCACAGGUGUGAUAACUAUCUACGCUUGUGGUUUUCCAUCAGGUAACCUUCAGUGAUGGAGGUUCGCUGGGGCUCAUAAAUGUCUCUCCUCAGUGAGGACAGCUUUUUUGAACGUUUGAUCUCAAAUCAGGUAGGACUACCCGCUGAACUUAAGCAUAUCAUAAGCGGAGGA
rnacentral:misc_RNA from 1 species